GAUGAAGAACGCAGCGAAAUGCGAAAAGUAAUGUGAAUUGCAGAAUUCAGUGAAUCAUCGAAUCUUUGAACGCACAUUGCGCCCCUUGGUAUUCCGAGGGGCAUGCCUGUUCGAGCGUCAUUAUAACCCCUCAAGCUCAGCUUGGUGUUGGGGCCUGCUGCACUGGCAGCCCUUAAAAUCAGUGGCGGCGCCAUCUGGCUCUAAGCGUAGUAAUUCUUCUCGCUAUGGAGUCCUGGUGGAUGCUUGCCAUCAACCCCCAAUUUUUCUAUGGUUGACCUCGGAUCAGGUAGGGAUACCCGCUGAACUUAAGCAUAUCAAUAAGCGGAGGA
rnacentral:misc_RNA from 1 species